UGAGUGAGGCUGAGGCUCGGACUUACAUAGAAGGUACCCUGGCAGGCUGGUUCUGGGGUCUCUGAGGGAGCGCACUGAGGUCAGGUCUCCAAGGGAUGGAAAAACUGCAAAUUGGAUCAGAUGUGGAUCCUACAGGGAACUGUCUCUGCUGGGGUGAAAAGCAUUGCUGGUAAGACACUCGCAGGAAUGGGAAAUACAUACAAGCCCACAGAAGGGAGAACAUCCCUUCUCCUUCGUCCAGCCGGUGUGUCCCUAUUGCCAGAGCCCAAUAGAGAGCAGCUGGCCAAGAAGAAACAUCCGCAGAGUCUCAGCCCCAGCACCAUAAGCUGAGUCUAUACGGAACUGCUGACUCUUUCCUACCAGAGAAACAAAAGGAAAACUUGCUUUCUUUGAU